GAUUGGGAAAAUGUGUCUACAUUUGACUGAUGUAUAUAAUUGGUUACAGAGGAUUAUUUAUAUUUUCUUAACCUGUGCCCAAGACUUUUGCAUACUGUACUCGUCAAUAGAAAUACUUCGGACCCUGUUUUUAUGUAUGCACCAUUCUUUUGAAAACAGGAAGUCAUGGGAUCCUUCAACCCCACCACCUCCCGAAGCACCAUUACUGUGUCUGAGCCCAUGGGGAACCGUUCUGUGAGGGAUGUCACGAAUGUCAGUUGCUCUGGAUAGGUGCAUGUGUAAGGGCUGACCAGAUGUUAGGUGAUUACCUGAGAAUAGGCCGGGACCAGGGCCAGUUGUAGAACAAUCUGAAGGGGGCCUCGGGGGCCAACACCAAGCAGCAGAGAGAUGCCUACCACGGAAUGAAAGAAUGGACUGACAACAACAACAUGUAGAUCAGAAGAGUCACCAGAAAUUCUUCUCUAUUCUCACUCUUUUUUCUGUUCCUCCUGCAUUCUGAUUACAUUAACUUUAAAUUUGAGUCCUUUAGCAUAUAUAAUAUCCAAAUUGAUGUAUGAUUAUAUUAAGACCUCUAGGUGGGACAAACAUGAAUUACAGUGUAAACCUACUCUCCUAUCUUUCCCUCACACAUUCCCCCUGACUCCCUGCUCCUUCCUAAAAGCAUUUCAGCUGUAGUGAUAAGGUAUUGAGUAAUUAUAGCUAAAUAUUGAUGAGUGAUCAUUAAAGUUAUGAAGUUGAUGUCACUUGGAUUUCCUGUUGGACCAAAAAUAUAAUCGGGAAUUCAUAUUAGAUGACAACAUAUUUCUUUCAACAUUUUCAUUUCCUUUUCAAAAACUCAGAUAGU